GAUCCUGGCUCAGAUUGAACGCUGGCGGCAUGCUUUACACAUGCAAGUCGAACGGCAGCACGGGUGCUUGCACCUGGUGGCGAGUGGCGGACGGGUGAGUAAUACAUCGGAACGUGUCCUGAAGUGGGGGAUAACGCAUCGAAAGAUGUGCUAAUACCGCAUAUUCUCUGAGGAGAAAAGUAGGGGAUCGAAAGACCUUAUGCUUUUGGAGCGGCCGAUGUCUGAUUAGCUAGUUGGUAGGGUAAUGGCUUACCAAGGCGACGAUCAGUAGUUGGUCUGAGAGGACGGCCAGCCACACUGGGACUGAGACACGGCCCAGACUCCUACGGGAGGCAGCAGUGGGGAAUUUUGGACAAUGGGCGCAAGCCUGAUCCAGCAAUGCCGCGUGAGUGAAGAAGGCCU
rnacentral:rRNA from 1 species